GCGGACGGCGACUCUGGGCGGGAAACAGGAGCUGCUGCGCCGAGGCGAAGAAAAUUAUGUAAGAGUUCACCACGACGAUCAAAGGUGAGGAAGAGGGCCCCCCCUGAGCCCCCAAAUGUGCGCGUGUCUGCGCGCCCGUGUGGACGCGUUUCCCCCUCGAAGCUCGGAGAGCCGAAAGCGCGCGCGCGGGAAUCUCCUCAGGCAGCCAAACUUUCUCCCUCGGUGGAAAAACCGCUCGGGCGGGCGACCAGCUGGAUUCAGAAGCGACUCAAACAGGUGCAAGGCGGAAAGGGCUGGAGAAGGAGCGACGGGGGGGAGGAGAGAGAGAGAGAGGGAGAGAGAGAGAGAGAGAGUCACGGCUGCUCCACUUUGGCCAGAAGGUGGGAGGCAACGGGGUGUGUGCCCGGCUCUCGGCGCCUUUCCACGGUCCUCCGCGUUACCCCGCGCGCGUUCCGCAGAAAUGCAAGGCUGACUCCCCUCGUUUAAGCUGCUGCUGAAGUGAUCUAAUGUGCCCCCCCUUCACUAACUUCCACAGGGAGAGGGGGGGGGAGAGAGAGAGAGAGAGAGAGAGAGGAGGGAGCAAGCGAGCGAGCGUGUGUGACUCGCAUCCGCUGGUCCCAAGUGAACAGAGGAAAAGAGACAGGAAAUGCCCCCUCCCCCUCUCCCACCUCCGCCCCACGUAGAAACGAGAGAGAGAGAGAGGGAGGGAGAGAGGGAGAGAGAGAGAGAAAGAGAAGUAAUUAAAUGACAAAGCGCGCGGGGGGGGGAGCCAGAGAGAGGGAGGGGGUGAAUGAGAAGGAAAGAAGGAAGGAAGGAAGGAAAGAAAGAAAACCGUAAAGACGAGGGAGGGGAGGGCGAGGGGAGGGUGGGAAGCAAAGCGCCUCCAGCCAGGCAGCAGCAGAACUUGCGCCGUAAUUUGUUCUCCGCGGUUUUCCCUCCUCUCGCUCGGGAGGAAUCAGGAAAGGAGGAGCAGCAGCCGGGAGAGGCAUCCAGCAAAGAGCCCCGCAGCCAUACACGGCGCACCGAAGCGGGAUUAAAUGACUUUGCCUUGGCCAAUCGGAGCGCGUCGGCGGGGGAUUAUUUGCAUGGCGCACUCGGGAGUGACGUCCGGAGCAGACUGCCAAGAGAGUACAGGCUUCAAACGAUGCAUGGCUACUCUGCUCAGAGAAGAAACAGACCUGCUUCAAGUCAGAUGAGGUCAUGCAACUUCCCUGGGUUACUCUGGAUGAACAAUUUUUUUCCAAAAGAUUCAGCAAACACUCCUUAUUGUACCAGCUCCCAACAACCAAGCCCAGAACUUCUGUAUUUGGGGAAAAAAAGUCACUGCUGAUAUGUGGUGAUGUCACCAGUUAUUUAUAACAGGUACAGUAAACUGAAAUUUUGCAUGAACUCCAUCUAAGUUCAAGCAGUAUUGUUUAUGUAUAUAUUUAUUUUGCAUAGAUUCUGUUUUUCAUCCUGUGAGUCCAAGGUGGCCUACAUGGCUCUUCUACACCUGAUUUUAUAAUCUCAACACACCUGAGAGGAAGGUCAGGCUGAGACAGAGUGACUGGCCCCUUACCCAGAGAGUUUCAUGGGUGACUGGGGACUAGAAUCUGGAACUUCCGAGUCCCAAUCCCAAACUCUCACCAGUUUGACAAGUAGCCUGAAGAGGAUCCAUUCUGGUUUCUCUACUGGAAUUGGUUCUCCCAGCAUAACUCAGGGAGGUUACAUGACUGUUGAACACAUCUUUAAAUCCUUAGCAUAAACAUCUUUCAACAGAAGCUGAGGUGAAUUACACUGCGGUAACUAUUAGUACUGGUGGAAUAUGCAGAGAUUUCUUCUCAAAGUAUUCAUAAAAAUGCAGUUACGUAUUAGUACAGUACACUACACUGUAGAGAACAUCAAGAGAUUAGUGAUGGUGGAAUUCCUCAGUUAACUGGUUAAAUCUACCAUUAAAUCUAUAAUCCAAAUCAUUCCAUUUAAAGACUGUAGGCCCAUCAAAUAAGCACAAAUAAGCAUAUAUAUUGAGUGAGAAGGAUCCGGAUAUAACGUGAUAAGUUUAUGACGCGGUUUGUUCACUUCCUGAAGUAAAAGACAAUGUUUCAUGUCAUUGGUUGGCCAUUAGGACAUUUAAGAACUCGAAGACACAGACAUCAUUUACCCGCCCUGCACAAAUCCCCAUCCCCCAGUUUAAACAUUGGCCCCAAAAUAUCCACCCCUAUUCCUUUCUUAUUACAGAGAAGCCAAACAACAUGGAAACAAAUUGAUUCUUUAAAUGAUUCCUUAGAUGUCCCCUUUUCUUGCACCCAAUUGAUUUGUGUGUGCUUUCCUUCCCCGUGCUCUGAAUAAUG
ensembl:lncRNA